rnacentral:lncRNA from 1 species
AGCUCCGCCUUUGCCUCCAAGGCUUUGCUGGCUUGUGCGGCAUCCUGCUCCGUCUGCAGGUUGUGCUUCCGGUGCGGAGGUCAGGGACAAGAUGGUGCCACCGGUGCAGGUCUCUCCGCUCAUCAAGAUUACCUAAAACCUCGGGCAGAAGAGGAGAGGAGGAUAGCAGCAGAAGAGAAGAAGAAGCAGGAUGAACUGAAACGGAUUGCCAGAGAAUUGGCAGAAGAUGACAGCAUAUUAAAGUGAGUGACCCUGCGACCCACUCUUUGGACCAGCAGCGGAUGAAUAAAGCUUCCUGUGUUGUGUGAUA